UACGGAGGGUGCAAGCGUUGUUCGGAUUGACUGGGCGUAAAGGGCGUGUAGGCGGUUGGUCAAGUCUGAUGUGAAAGCCCGGGGCUCAGCCCCGGAAGGGCAUCGGAAACUAGCCAGCUGGAGCGCGAUAGAGGAGGGUGGAAUUCCUGGUGUAGCGGUGAAAUGCGUAGAUAUCAGGAGGAACACCGGCGGCGAAGGCGGCCCUCUGGAUCGUUGCUGACGCUGAGACGCGAAAGCGUGGGGAGCAAACAGG
rnacentral:rRNA from 1 species